UAUCCUAUUUCUCAGCUGUUG
rnacentral:siRNA from 1 species